GGGCGUGUGGUCUAGUGGUAAAGACGUUAGCCGCUUAAGCUGAAGACCCGGGUUCGACUCCCGGCUCGGCCA
rnacentral:tRNA from 1 species